CGGCGGACGGGUGAGUAACGCGUGGGUAACCUGCCUCAUACAGGGGGAUAACAGUUAAAAAUGACUGCUAAUACCGCAUAAGACCACAGCACCGCAUGGUGCGGGGGUAAAAACUCCGGUGGUAUGAGAUGGACCCGCGUCUGAUUAGCUAGUUGGUAAGGUAACGGCUUACCAAGGCGACGAUCAGUAGCCGACCUGAGAGGGUGACCGGCCACAUUGGGACUGAGACACGGCCCAG
rnacentral:rRNA from 1 species